AUUGGGUUUAAAGGGAAGCGUAGGCCGGAGACAUUAAGCGUGUUGUGAAAUGUAGAUGCUCAACAUCUGAACUGCAGCGCGAACUGGUUUCCUUGAGUACGCACAAAGUGGGCGGAAUUCGUGGUGUAGCGGUGAAAUGCUUAGAUAUCACGAAGUACUCCGAUUGCGAAGGCAGCUCACUGGAGCGCAACUGACGCUGAAGCUCGAAAGUGCGGGUAUCGAACAGGAUUAGAUACCCUGGUAGUCCGCACGGUAAACGAUGGAUGCCCGCUGUUGGUCUGAAUAGGUCAGCGGCCAAGCGAAAGCAUUAAGCAUCCCACCUGGGGAGUACGCCGGCAACGGUGAAACUCAAAGGAAUUGACGGGGGCCCGCACAAGCGGAGGAACAUGUGGUUUAAUUCGAUGAUACGCGAGGAACCUUACCCGGGCUUGAAUUGCAGAGGAAGGAUUUGGAGACAAUGACGCCCUUCGGGGCCUCUGUGAAGGUGCUGCAUGGUUGUCGUCAGCUCGUGCCGUGAGGUGUCGGCUUAAGUGCCAUAACGAGCGCAACCCCUCUCCUUAGUUGCCAUCAGGUUAAGCUGGGCACUCUGGGGACACUGCCACCGUAAGGUGUGAGGAAGGUGGGGAAUGACGUCAAAUCAGCACGGCCCUUACGUCCGGGGCUACACACGUGUUACAAUGGCAGGUACAGAGAGACGGUCCCUUGCAAAAUGGAUCAAAUCCUUAAAGCCUGUCUCAGUUCGGACUGGGGGUCUGCAACCCGACCCCACGAAGCUGGAUUCGCUAGUAAUCGCGCAUCAGCCAUGGCGCGGUGAAUACGUUCCCGGGCCUUGUACACACCGCCCGUCAAGCCAUGAAAGCCCGGGGGCGCCUAAAGUCCGUGACCGUAAAGGAGCGGCCCUAGGGCGAAACUGGUAAUUGGGGCUAAGUCGUAACAAGGUAGCCCGUAAAGGGCGAAUUCCA
rnacentral:rRNA from 1 species